rnacentral:rRNA from 1 species
UUGUAGCCUGCUAUGGUAUAACUUAGUGGCAGACGGGUGAGUAAUAUAUAGGAAUCUACCUAGUAGUACGGAAUAAUUGUUGGAAACGGCAACUAAUACCGUAUACGCCCUAUGGGGGAAAAACUUAUUGCUAUUAGGUGAGCCUAUAUUAGAUUAGCUAGUUGGUGGAGUAAUAGCCUACCAAGGCAAUGAUCUAUAGCUGAUCUGAGAGGAUGAUCAGCCACACUGGAACUGAGAUACGGUCCAGACUCCUACGGGAGGCAGCAGUGGGGAAUAUUGGACAAUGGGCGAAAGCCUGAUCCAGCCAUGCCACAUGAGUGAAGAAGGCCUUUGGGUUGUAAAGCUCUUCUAGUGAGGAAGAUAGUGACGGUACUCACAGAAGAAGUCCUGGCUAACUCCGUGCCAGCAGCCGCGGUAAUACGGAGAGGGCUAGCGUUAUUCGGAAUUAUUGGGCGUAAAGGGCGCGUAGGCUGGUUAAUAAGUUAAAAGUGAAAUCCCGAGGCUUAACCUUGGAAUUGCUUUUAAAACUAUUAGCCUAGAGGUUGAAAGAGGAUAGAGGAAUUCCUGAUGUAGGGGUAAAAUUCGUAAAUAUUAGGAGGAACACCAGUGGCGAAGGCGUCUAUCUGGUUCAAAUCUGACGCUGAAGCGCGAAGGCGUGGGGAGCAAACAGGAUUAGAUACCCUGGUAGUCCACGCUGUAAACGAUGAAUGUUAAAUAUGGGAAGUUUACUUUCUGUAUUACAGCUAACGCGUUAAACAUUCCGCCUGGGGACUACGGUCGCAAGAUUAAAACUCAAAGGAAUUGACGGGGACCCGCACAAGCGGUGGAGCAUGUGGUUUAAUUCGAUGCAACGCGAAAAACCUUACCACUUCUUGACAUGAAAAUCAUACCUAUUC